UAUGAGGGACCAUUGUAGAGCAAACAG
rnacentral:misc_RNA from 1 species